UACGGAGGAUGCGAGCGUUAUCCGGAUUUAUUGGGUUUAAAGGGAGCGCAGACGGGGGAUUAAGUCAGUUGUGAAAGUUUGGGGCUCAACCUUAAAAUUGCAGUUGAUACUGGUUCUCUUGAGUGCAGUUGAGGCAGGCGGAAUUCGUGGUGUAGCGGUGAAAUGCUUAGAUAUCACGAAGAACCCCGAUUGCGAAGGCAGCCUGCUAAACUGUAACUGACGUUCAUGCUCGAAAGUGUGGGUAUCAAACAGG
rnacentral:rRNA from 1 species